CCUCCCCGCCGUUUGAGUAAUGGGGGGACGCAGUAGGAUAGGGUAAGCGCGCUGCUGGAUAUGCGCGUUCAAGCAGUUAGGCUGAUGAGUAGGCAAAUCCGCUCAUCAUGAAAGCUGAGCUGUGAUGACGAGGGAAUUAUAGUACCGAAGUUCCUGAUUCCACACUGCCAAGAAAAGCCUCUAGCGAGGCGGGAGGUGCCCGUACCGCAAACCGACACAGG
rnacentral:rRNA from 1 species